AUUGAACGCUGGCGGCAUGCCUUACACAUGCAAGUCGAACGGUAACAGGUUAAGCUGACGAGUGGCGAACGGGUGAGUAAUACAUCGGAACGUGCCUAGACGUGGGGGAUAACGCAGCGAAAGCUGUGCUAAUACCGCAUAAGAUCUAAGGAUGAAAGCGGGGGACCGCAAGGCCUCGCGCGUUUAGAGCGGCCGAUGUCAGAUUAGGUAGUUGGUGGGGUAAAGGCUCACCAAGCCGACGAUCUGUAGCUGGUCUGAGAGGACGACCAGCCACACUGGGACUGAGACACGGCCCAGACUCCUACGGGAGGCAGCAGUGGGGAAUUUUGGACAAUGGGCGCAAGCCUGAUCCAGCCAUGCCGCGUGAGUGAAGAAGGCCUUC
rnacentral:rRNA from 1 species